rnacentral:rRNA from 1 species
CCUACGGGAGGCUGCAGUCGAGAAUCAUUCACAAUGGGGGAAACCCUGAUGGUGCGACGCCGCGUGGGGGAAUGAAGGUCUUCGGAUUGUAAACCCCUGUCAUGUGGGAGCAAAUUAAAAAGAUAGUACCACAAGAGGAAGAGACGGCUAACUCUGUGCCAGCAGCCGCGGUAAUACAGAGGUCUCAAGCGUUGUUCGGAAUCACUGGGCGUAAAGCGUGCGUAGGCUGUUUCGUAAGUCGUGUGUGAAAGGCGCGGGCUCAACCCGCGGACGGCACAUGAUACUGCGAGACUAGAGUAAGGGAGGGGGAACCGGAAUUCUCGGUGUAGCAGGGAAAUGCGUAGAUAUCGAGAGGAACACUCGUGGCGAAGGCGGGUUCCUGGACAGUAACUGACGCUGAGGCACGAAGGCCAGGGGAGCGAAAGGGAUUAGAUACCCCAGUAGUC